UACCUCGUUACGGCUUCACCCCAGUCAUGAAUCCCACCGUGGUAAGCGCCCCCCUCGCGGUUAGGCUACCUUCUUCUGGUGAAACCCCCUCCCAUGGUCGUGACGGGCGGUGUGUACAAGACCCUUGACCGUAUUCACCGUGGCUUGCUGUUCCGCGUUUUCUUUUGAUUCCGCUUUCACUUUGGCGGUUUGCCGUCCGUGUUCCGUUCCCUGCCCGGUCUGCCCGGGGGCGGCGCCGCUUUUGGGGGGCGGCCCCCCUUCGCCCCCGCCC
rnacentral:rRNA from 1 species